ensembl:snRNA U6 U6 spliceosomal RNA
GAGCUUACUUCAACAUCACAUAUAUUAAUAUUAGAACAAUACAGUGAAGAUUAGCAAGGCUCCUAUGCAAGGAUGACAUGCAGAUUUGUGAAGACUUCCAUAUUUUG